rnacentral:rRNA from 1 species
ACAGGUCACUUCGGUGAUGCUGACGACCGGCGCACGGGUGAGUAACGCGUAUGGAACCUACCUGAAACAGGGGGAUAGCUUCCGGAAACGGGGAUUAAUACCGCAUACGAUUCAUUUGUGGCCUCACAAAUGGAUAAAAGCUACGGCGGUUUCAGAUGGCCAUGCGUACCAUUAGUUAGUUGGUGAGGUAAAGGCUCACCAAUGCGAUGAUGGUUAGGGGUCCUGAGAGGGUAGUCCCCCACACUGGUACUGAGACACGGACCAGACUCCUACGGGAGGCAGCAGUGAGGAAUAUUGGUCAAUGGGCGCUAGCCUGAACCAGCCAUGCCGCGUGCAGGAAGACGGACCUACGGGUUGUAAACUGCUUUUCUGCAGGAAGAAUAUAUAGUCUUAGGGGUAUAUUGACGGUACUGCAGGACUAAGCAUCGGCUUAACUCCGUGCCAAGCAGCCGCGGUAAUACGGCGGAUGCAAGCGUUAUCCGGAUUCAUUGGGUUUAACGGGUGCGCCGGGCCUUGAAGGCAAGUCAAUUGGUUAAAGCCCUGGGCUUAACUCAGGGAUUGCCAAUGAAAGUGUUUGACUAGAGUGUAGUAGAGGACGCCGGAAUGAGUUUGUUACCGGUGAAAUGCAUAGAUAUAACUCAGGACACCUAUUGCGUAGGCACUGGUCUAUACUACAACUGACGCUGAGGCCACGAAAGCGUGCUGGANCGAACAGGAUUAGAUACCCUGGUAGUCCACGCUGUAAACGAUGAUCACUCGUUGUUGGCUACGUAGUAGUCAGUGACCAAGGGAAACCGAUAAGUGAUCCACCUGGGGAGUACGUCGGCAACGAUGAAACUCAAAGGAAUUGACGGGGGCCCGCACAANCGGAGGAACAUGUGGUUUAAUUCGAUGAUACGCGAGGAACCUUACCUGGGCUUAAAUGCUGGCUGCAUUGGAGGGAAACCUUCAUUUCCUACGGGACCGCCAGCAAGGUGCUGCAUGGUUGUCGUCAGCUCGUNCCGUGAGGUGUCGGGUUAAGUCCCAUAACGAGCGCAACCCCUAUCGCUAGUUGCCAGCAUGUAAUGGUGGGGACUCUAGCGAGACUGCCGGUGUAAACCGGAGGAAGGUGGGGAUGACGUCAAAUCAGCACGGCCCUUACGUCCAGGGCUACACACGUGUUACAAUGGCCGGUACAAAGAGCAGCCACCUGGCGACAGGGCGC